rnacentral:rRNA from 1 species
UAGGGAAUCUUCCACAAUGGACGAAAGCCUGAUGGAGCAACGCCGCGUGAGUGAAGAAGGGUUUCGGCUCGUAAAACUCUGUUGUUAAAGAAGAACAUAUCUGAGAGUAACUGUUCAGGUAUUGACGGUAUUUAACCAGAAAGCCACGGCUAACUACGCGCCAG